rnacentral:rRNA from 1 species
GACGAACGCUGGCGGCGUGCUUAACACAUGCAAGUCGAACGGUGAAGCGAGUGCUUGCACUCGUGGAUCAGUGGCGAACGGGUGAGUAACACGUGAGUAACCUGCCCAUCACUCUGGGAUAAGCACUGGAAACGGUGUCUAAUACUGGAUACGACCAACCCUUGCAUGGGGUGUUGGUGGAAAGAUUUAUCGGUGAUGGAUGGACUCGCGGCCUAUCAGCUUGUUGGCGGGGUAAUGGCCCACCAAGGCGACGACGGGUAGCCGGCCUGAGAGGGUGACCGGCCACACUGGGACUGAGACACGGCCCAGACUCCUACGGGAGGCAGCAGUGGGGAAUAUUGCACAAUGGGCGAAAGCCUGAUGCAGCGACGCCGCGUGAGGGAUGACGGCCUUCGGGUUGUAAACCUCUUUCAGCAGGGAAGAAGCGAAAGUGACGGGACCUGCAGAAGAAGCACCGGCUAACUACG